rnacentral:rRNA from 1 species
AGCGAACGCUGGCGGCAGGCCUAACACAUGCAAGUCGAACGAACUCUUCGGAGUUAGUGGCGGACGGGUGAGUAACACGUGGGAACGUGCCUUUAGGUUCGGAAUAACUCAGGGAAACUUGAGCUAAUACCGGAUGUGCCCUUCGGGGGAAAGAUUUAUCGCCUUUAGAGCGGCCCGCGUCUGAUUAGCUAGUUGGUGAGGUAAAGGCUCACCAAGGCGACGAUCAGUAGCUGGUUUGAGAGGAUGGUCAGCCACAUUGGGACUGAGACACGGCCCAAACUCCUACGGGAGGCAGCAGUGGGGAAUCGUGCGCAAUGGGCGAAAGCCUGACGCAGCCAUGCCGGGUGAAUGAUGAAGGUCUUAGGAUUGUAAAAUUCUUUCACCGGGGACGAUAAUGACGGUACCCGGAGAAGAAGCCCCGGCUAACUUCGUG